GGGUGAACGCUGGCGGCGUGGAUAAGGCAUGCAAGUCAUGGGGGUCCGACAUCAAGUCGGACAACCGGCAAACGAGUUCAUAACACGUAGAUACAAACCCUCUACACAGGCAUAACCCCGAGAAAUCGGGACUAAUUCCUGAUGGUCUCGUAAGAGUAAAUGGUGUACGUAAGUAUUACCGGUAGAGGAUUGAUCUGCGGCCUAUCAGCUAGUUGGUAAGGUAACGGCUUACCAAGGCUAUGACGGGUAGGGGACGUGAGAGCGUGACCCCCAACGAUGGCACUGCGAUACGGGCCAUACUCCUACGGGAGGCAGCAGCCGAGAAUAUUCGACAAUGGGCGAAAGCCUGAUCGAGCGGCGCCGCGUGCAGGAAGAAGGCCUUCGGGUUGUAAACUGCUUUUCUCCUAGAAGAAGUACAGCCGCAAGGUUGUAUUGACAGUAUGGGAGGAAUAAGGAGAUCCUAAUUCUGUGCCAGCAGGAGCGGUAAGACAGAAUCUCCAAGCGUUACCCGGAUUUAUUGGGCGUAAAGGGUCCGUAGGCGGCCGGGCGUGUCUUUCGUUAAAUACCCGAGGCUCAACCACGGGGGUGCGAAGGAAACUACCUAGCUAGAGAGCGUUAUGGGCUGAUGGAACGCACGGUGUAGGGGUGAAAUCCGUUGAUAUCGUGCGGAACACCAAAAGCGAAGGCAGUCAGCUGGAACGACUCUGACGCUGAGGGACGAAAGCGUGGGCAUCGACAAGGAUUAGAUACCCUUUUAGUCCACGCCCUAAACAUUGGACACUGGCUAUUUGAAGUGUCGACCCUUCAAGUGGCGAAGCUAACGCGUUAAGUGUCCCGCCUGGGAAGUACGGCGGCAACGCUAAAACUCAAAGGAAUAGACGGGGAUUUACACAAGCGGUGGACCAUGUGGCUUAAUUCGACAACAAGCGAGAAACCUUACCAGGGCUAGAAAUCCCAGUGAAAUCCCGAUGAAAGUCGGGACUACCCACAAGGACACUGGGACAGGUGCUGCAUGGUUGUCGUCAGCAUGUGUCGUGAGACGCUCCCUUAAAUGGGGAAACAUGCGCAACCCUCACUCUGUGUUUUAUUUGUCACAGGGGACUGCCCGGGACAACUGGGAGGAAGGUGAGGAUGACGCCAAAUCAGCAUGGCCCUUUGAUGCCCUGGGCUGCACACGUGGUACAAUGGGCAGGACAAUGGGUUUGCGAAGAGGUAACUCGGAGCUAAUCCCACUAAACCUGUUCUCAGUUCGGAUCGAGGUCUGCAACUCGACCUCGUGAAGCUGGAAUCGCUAGUAAUCGCGCAUCAGCAUCGGUGCGAUGAAUACGUUCCUAAAUCUUGUACACACCGC
rnacentral:rRNA from 1 species